CAAAAAAUGUAAAGCGUUAUGUGGAUCGAACAUUAGUAGAGAAGCGUGUGAGCCAGCUGCCAAGAAAAGCCGCUAUUGUUUCAUAAGUACCCGUACCGUAAACCGACACAGGUGGAUGAGGAGAGAAUCCUAAGGCCGGCGGGAGAAGUGUUGUUAAGGAACUCGGCAAAAUGACUCCGUAACUUCGGGAGAAGGAGUGCCACAGAGAUGUGGCCGCAGAGAAAUGGCCCAAGCAACUGUUUAGCAAAAACACAGGUCUAUGCAAAACCGAAAGGUGAGGUAUAUGGGCUGACGCCUGCCCGGUGCUGGAAGGUUAAGAGGAGAGGUUAGAGCAAUCGAAGCUUUGAAUUUAAGCCCCAGUAAACGGCGGCCGUAACUAUAACGGUCCUAAGGUAGCGAAAUUCCUUGUCGGGUAAGUUCCGACCCGCACGAAAGGCGUAAUGAUUUGGGCACUGUCUCAACAACACACCCGGUGAAAUUGAAAUACCAGUGAAGAUGCUGGUUACCUGCGCCAGGACGGAAAGACCCCAUGGAGCUUUACUCCAGUUUGAUACUGGGAUUCGGUACUGUCUGUACAGGAUAGGUGGGAGGCUAGGAAAUGGUGACGCCAGUUGCCAUGGAGCCAACCUUGGGAUACCACCCUUACAGUACUGGGUUUCUAACCUGCAGCCGUAACCCGGCUGGGGGACAAUGUCUGACGGGGAGUUUGACUGGGGCGGUCGCCUCCGAAAGAGUAUCGGAGGCGCUCAAAGGUUCCCUCAGAACGGUUGGAAACCGUUCGAAGAGUGCAAAGGCAGAAGGGAGCUUGACUGCGACACCGACGGGUGGAGCAGAUACGAAAGUAGGACUUAGUGAUCCGGUGGUAUAAAGUGGGAUUGCCAUCGCUCAACGGAUAAAAGCUACCCUGGGAUAACAGGCUUAUCACUCCCAAGAGUUCACAUCGACGGAGUGGUUUGGCACCUCGAUGUCGGCUCAUCGCAUCCUGGAGCUGUAGCAGGUUCCAAGGGUUGGGCUGUUCGCCCAUUAAAGCGGUACGCGAGCUGGGUUCAGAACGUCGUGAGACAGUUCGGUCCCUAUCCGGCGUGGGCGUAGGAUAUUUGAGAGGAGCUGUCCUUAGUACGAGAGGACCGGGAUGGACAAACCUCUGGUGUAUCUGUUGUUUUACCAAAGGCAUGGCAGAGUAGCCAAGUUUGGCAGGGAUAAACGCUGAAGGCAUCUAAGCGUGAAGCCCCCCUCAAGAUAAGAUAUCCCAUCUUCGGAGUAAGACCCCUUGAAGACUACAAGGUUGAUAGGCUUCAGGUGUAAGUGUGGUAACGCACUCAGCUGAGAAGUACUAAUAGGUCGAGGACUUAUCCUU
rnacentral:rRNA from 1 species